GUCUAUGGCCAUGUCACUCUGAACAAGUCCAAUCUCGUCUGAUCUCGGAAGCUAAGCAGGAUCGGGCUUGGUUAGUAAUUGGAUGGGAGACCACCUAGGAAGACCAGGUGCUGUAGGCG
rnacentral:rRNA from 1 species